UACGGAGGGUGCUAGCGUUGUCCGGAAUUACUGGGCGUAAAGGGCGCGUAGGCGGCCUUCUAAGUCGAACGUGAAAUCCCCGGGCUCAACCCGGGAACUGCGUCCGAGACUGAAAGGCUCGAAUCCGGGAGAGGGAUGUGGAAUUCCAGGUGUAGCGGUGAAAUGCGUAGAUAUCUGGAGGAACAUCGGUGGCGAAGGCGGCAUCCUGGACCGGUAUUGACGCUGAGGCGCGAAAGCCAGGGGAGCAAAGCGGG
rnacentral:rRNA from 1 species